GGUCGAACGAGCUGUACUCUUUCCAUGAGGGAUUAGAAUCUAACAAAGGAAAAGUUCUGAACAAGUCAAACGUCAAAGGGAAGAUUUUCCAGAGGUUAACAGAAAAGUAGCAAUAACAAACGGUCAUCCAGAAAGGAUUGGAGGUGGGUUUGGUUGGAGACAGCAGGGAUGUGCAGUGCGGCUGGUGCAGAUAGAGCGGAGCUGGAGUGCAGCGUCCUGGAAGAGGACUGGCAGAGAGGACAGAGAUACAUGGCUCACUGGCACAGCUUCACCAUCGUGCCACAGCAUCAGCAGAGGCCAAUCGUGAUGGAGGCAGAACGCUCAG